rnacentral:rRNA from 1 species
UGGGGAAUAUUGCACAAUGGGGAAGACCCUGAUGCAGCAACGCCGCGUGAAGGAAGACGGUUUUCGGAUUGUAAACUCCUUUUCUUAGUGAAGAAACAAAUGACGGUAGCUAAGGAAUAAGCAUCGGCUAACUACGUGCCAGCAGCCGCGGUAAUACGUAGGAUGCGAGCGUUAUCCGGAAUUACUGGGUGUAAAGGGAGCGCAGGCGGGACUGCAAGUUGGAUGUGAAAUGCCGCAGCUUAACUGCGGAGCUGCAUCCAAACUGUAGUUCUUGAGUGGAGUAGAGGCAAGCGGAAUUCCGAGUGUAGCGGUGAAAUGCGUAGAUAUUCGGAGGAACACCAGUGGCGAAGGCGGCUUGCUGGGCUCUAACUGACGCUGAGGCUCGAAAGUGUGGGGAGCAAACAGGAUUAGAUACCC